rnacentral:lncRNA from 1 species
GACCUCUCCCGAGACCGGCCAGGCCCCUACAGUACAGGGGCUGAAGGGUGUAGCACGAGCCCUAAAAGAGAUGCAGCUGGAGGCCGCCCCGCACAAGGCGCUGGGGUGGACCGGGGAGGCGCCUUACCCAGUGGAAAGACUCCCGGAUCAAGGGAGAAAGUUACGCAGGCUUCCGAUCCUGAUCCGCCAUCAGCCGCCGAACCUCUUCCGCCACUACCGCCUACCCCCAAAGACCGGCUACACCUCCCCUCCCAGCCGACAGUAGGCCUUGCGUCACUUCCGCCCACGGGGCGGUCUCUUCCGCCUCCUGCCUGGUUCGCCGCUCCCCUCCGCGACGACACGCCCCCAGCCCACUCCGCCGCGGGACGCCUCAUCCCGCGAAGGGAGUGACCACACGGCUAGGGCUGCAAACCCCUGAGCACCAAGACUGUCUCUGAACUCCUGGCCCAGUCGUGUGCUUUUUUGGCUAUGAAGUUUUGUUCACUGAAAGCUCCUAGGAGCUUUUCAGUUCUAAUGCCCUCUGAUUCUAUUUGCUCUCGCUCCAGCAGAGGCCUCUUUUCUAGCCGCAUUUCGGUACCCUUCACAGGUUUAACAGCCUCCACCCCUCGGGCACCAAGCAGUGUUAUCCAGGAAAAAAAAAAAAAAAGAGACUGAUUCUCAGUAGUAAUCUCUGUGCCUGUGAGGAACUUAAUGCAAGUCUCAGGAUCUCAAAAUAAGACCUACGAGCAUAAAGUAAUGAGUCUGUCAAGCUGGAUUUCCAUGCAUGGGGGAGGAUCUCUUUAAGUAAGGAAACUUCCUUGUGCUUCUUUAAGCACAGUUGCUAUCAUUCCGGGAGAAGCUCCUUUUAACCCAUAUCUUCUUCCAACUAGCAUCCUAUUUUUUUUCUUUCCUUCCCAGCUGAACUUCUUAAGGACCAACCUAUAUGAUGUGAUAUUUUAGAUAUUAACCUAUUUUUCUUGGUAUUCCUUGUAUAGCUUGCCACUUUCCCAACCCUCACCCAUAGGUUUGUUGCAUUGAAGAAAGGAUGUAGAAGGAAAAUCUUUCUGGCUUU